UACAGAGGCCUCGAGCGUUAGGCGGAAUCACUGGGCUUAAAGCGUGUGUAGGCGGACUUCUAAGUCCCUUGUGAAAUCCCACGGCUCACCCGUGGAACUGCUCGGUAUACUGGUUGUCUUGAGCCACUUAGGGGCUACCGGAACAAAUGGUGGAGCGGUGAAAUGCGUAGAUAUCAUUUGGAACGCCAAUGGUGAAAACAGGUAGCUGGGAGUGUGCUGACGCUGAGACACGAAAGCCAGGGGAGCGAACGGG
rnacentral:rRNA from 1 species